AGAGUUUGAUCCUGGCUCAGGAUGAACGCUGGCGGCGUGCCUAAUACAUGCAAGUCGAGCGAACGGACGAGAAGCUUGCUUCUCUGAUGUUAGCGGCGGACGGGUGAGUAACACGUGGAUAACCUACCUAUAAGACUGGGAUAACUUCGGGAAACCGUAGCUAAUACCGGAUAAUAUUUUGAACCGCAUGGUUCAAAAGUGAAAGACGGUCUUGCUGUCACUUAUAGAUGGAUCCGCGCUGCAUUAGCUAGUUGGUAAGGUAACGGCUUACCAAGGCAACGAUGCAUAGCCGACCUGAGAGGGUGAUCGGCCACACUGGAACUGAGACACGGUCCAGACUCCUACGGGAGGCAGCAGUAGGGAAUCUUCCGCAAUGGGCGAAAGCCUGACGGAGCAACGCCGCGUGAGUGAUGAAGGUCUUCGGAUCGUAAAACUCUGUUAUUAGGGAAGAACAUAUGUGUAAGUAACUGUGCACAUCUUGACGGUACCUAAUCAGAAAGCCACGGCUAACUACGUGCCAGCAGCCGCGGUAAUACGUAGGUGGCAAGCGUUAUCCGGAAUUAUUGGGCGUAAAGCGCGCGUAGGCGGUUUUUUAAGUCUGAUGUGAAAGCCCACGGCUCAACCGUGGAGGGUCAUUGGAAACUGGAAAACUUGAGUGCAGAAGAGGAAAGUGGAAUUCCAUGUGUAGCGGUGAAAUGCGCAGAGAUAUGGAGGAACACCAGUGGCGAAGGCGACUUUCUGGUCUGUAACUGACGCUGAUGUGCGAAAGCGUGGGGAUCAAACAGGAUUAGAUACCCUGGUAGUCCACGCCGUAAACGAUGAGUGCUAAGUGUUAGGGGGUUUCCGCCCCUUAGUGCUGCAGCUAACGCAUUAAGCACUCCGCCUGGGGAGUACGACCGCAAGGUUGAAACUCAAAGGAAUUGACGGGGACCCGCACAAGCGGUGGAGCAUGUGGUUUAAUUCGAAGCAACGCGAAGAACCUUACCAAAUCUUGACAUCCUUUGACAACUCUAGAGAUAGAGCCUUCCCCUUCGGGGGACAAAGGGACAGGUGGUGCAUGGUUGUCGUCAGCUCGUGUCGUGAGAUGUUGGGUUAAGUCCCGCAACGAGCGCAACCCUUAAGCUUAGUUGCCAUCAUUAAGUUGGGCACUCUAAGUUGACUGCCGGUGACAAACCGGAGGAAGGUGGGGAUGACGUCAAAUCAUCAUGCCCCUUAUGAUUUGGGCUACACACGUGCUACAAUGGACAAUACAAAGGGCAGCGAAACCGCGAGGUCAAGCAAAUCCCAUAAAGUUGUUCUCAGUUCGGAUUGUAGUCUGCAACUCGACUACAUGAAGCUGGAAUCGCUAGUAAUCGUAGAUCAGCAUGCUACGGUGAAUACGUUCCCGGGUCUUGUACACACCGCCCGUCACACCACGAGAGUUUGUAACACCCGAAGCCGGUGGAGUAACCUUUUAGGAGCUAGCCGUCGAAGGUGGGACAAAUGAUUGGGGUGAAGUCGUAACAAGGUAGCCGUAUCGGAAGGUGCGGCUGGAUCACCU
rnacentral:rRNA from 1 species